GUAUUUAGAGCUGGACCAUAAAGAAGGCUGAUCGCCGAAGAAUUGAUGCUUUUGAAUUAUGGUGCUGGAGGAGACUCUUGAGAAUCCCAUGGACUGCAGGAAGAUCAAACCUCUCCAUUCUUAAGGAAAUCAGCCCUGAGUGCUCACUGGAAGGACAGAUCCUGAAGCUGAGGCUCCAAUACCUUGGCCACCUCAUGAGAAGAGAAGACUCCCUGGAAAAGACCCUGAUGUUGGGAAAGAUGGAGGGCACCAGGAGAAGGGGAUGACAGAGGACGAGAUGGUUGGACAGUGUUCUUGAAGCUAUGAACAUGAGUUUGACCAAACUGCGGGAGGCAGUGGAAUACAGGAGUGCCUGGCGUGCUCUGGUCCAUGGGGUCACGAAGAGUCAGACACAACUAAACAACUAAACAACAAGUAUUUAUGCUGUCAUCAGUACCCAGGAUCAAAAGAUUAACAAUGUGACUUCCUUCUUGCGUGGACCACUUUUGCAAGUACUACACAUAGGAAAAGCAGAUAAUGUACCUUGUGAACCGCUCUGAGAUCUUCAGAUGAAGAAAUAGCAAUAAAACACUUUAAAGGCCUACUUUCUGCAUUUGCCCUCUCCUCAUUCUUACUUACCUCCGCUCCCUA